CUCUCUGCAACUUCUUCUCUGACAUUUCAGCAAAUCUCCACAACAUAUCAGUCUAAAACUAAAUGCCAGAGGUAAGCCUUUGCACAUGGAUGAUGUUUUAGUUGUCUUUUUCUGUUUCCAGUCUUAUGUUUUGUAGAUAGUUUUAGCUAAAGGAUAUACUUUACUGUACUACACAUUUCUUGUUUUUUUCCAUUGUAUAGAACAUAUAUAUUUAAAAGUACUAAUUUGUGAUUUUACAGGUCUGGUGAAAGUGAGUCUGGAGAAGCUUUCUGAAAACCAUCGAAAUGGCUACUGUUCCAUCGGCUGGUUGUCUCCUUGCAAAGAAUCACUUUAAUCGUAGUAAGUGGUCUCAUUUUUUCCUUAAAAUUUUUCAAUUGUGGGAUAACUUUCCAAACUCUUCUGCAGAAUGCAAACAGCACAUAUUCAUUCCUACUUUUUUAAAAAUUUCUUCGACAGCACGGCUCAACUCUGCCUCCAGUAAUUCCUCUUCAAGUUCAUUCCUUUCCUGUUGUGAUCUUGCAGAACAGGAGAAGACAACAACUCCAUGUGGUAUUCAAGUCCCAUCUGAGAAAUGCUGGUGGCUGAAGAAGUUCUUUGUAUGUGAAGCUGUGUCCCAUCCUGUAACAGAGCUACCAAACAUAAAUGGCACUAGCAGUUAAUGUCUGGCUUGCUGAUGAGGACUUGAACUCAACAGGAGAAAUGUAAACUGAGACAAGUUGCUGACUUCACAGCACAUGUUCCAAACCCUUUUGCUUCCAACUGGAAGCCAAGGGGAUGAACCUGCAGUGAAUUCCAGGAAGACCAGAGUAGAGAGGAACCCAGGGGCAAAGUAUAGAAUGUCCUCUUGUUCCAUGGUACUUUAUAGUGGUACCAAAACAAACAAACAAACACACACACACACACACACACACACACACACACACACACACACACACACACACACACACACACACACACACACACACACACACAGGACACCAGUCCAUCACAAGGCACCCCAAGCAGGACUUGAACCCCAGACCCACUGGAGAGCAGGACCCAGUCCAACCCACUGCACCACCACACCCCCCUUGGUGCCAAAAUAGUGAAACAUAACCUUUGCCCUAGAUUUGUAAGUGAUCUGACCCAAACCAAAUAGAAAUUACAGAAAUGACAUAAGCAUAUGUACAGCAUGUUAUUUAGGAUAUAAAAAGAGUACACCAUGGCUUCUAGUUAAUAGUAAUGGCAAUUUACAAAGAGAACAGAAUACAAACUGAUAAAACUGAGAACUUUCACAUGUCAGUCAAUUCUGUUAUGUGUGACACAGUCUGAGAACUUUCGGUUUGUUUCAAAUGAACAGUGUUUUCUAGUAUCAUUUAGUAUAUACCCUUGACUUCACAUAUAUGAAAAAGUUAUGAAAAGCUUUUUGGAUUCUUCAUCAGAUUUUGAGUAUAGAGUUACAUUUGAUUUCUUUCAAGAAGUAAAUAAUUAUUAUUUUUAAAACUCUCCCAUAUGAGAUGUAGUUUCUUUUUUUCAAAUGUAUUUAAAGAAAGUGUUCUCAAGAUGGAGGGGGUGCGGUGGCGCAGUGGGUUGGACCGCAGUCCUACUCUCCGGUGGGUCUGGGGUUCGAGUCCCGCUUGGGGUGCCUUGUGACAGACUGGCGUCCUGUCCUGGGUGCGU
rnacentral:lncRNA from 1 species